rnacentral:rRNA from 1 species
GACGAACGCUGGCGGCGUGCUUAACACAUGCAAGUCGAACGGUAAGGCCCUUCGGGGUACACGAGUGGCGAACGGGUGAGUAACACGUGGGUGAUCUGCCCUGCACUUCGGGAUAAGCCUGGGAGACUGGGUCUAAUACCGGAUAGGACUCCGGACUGCAUGGUCUGGGGUGGAAAGCUUUUGCGGUGUGGGAUGGGCCCGCGGCCUAUCAGCUUGUUGGUGGGGUGAUGGCCUACCAAGGCGACGACGGGUAGCCGGCCUGAGAGGGUGACCGGCCACACUGGGACUGAGAUACGGCCCAGACUCCUACGGGAGGCAGCAGUGGGGAAUAUUGCACAAUGGGCGCAAGCCUGAUGCAGCGACGCCGCGUGGGGGAUGACGGCCUUCGGGUUGUAAACCUCUUUCAGCAUCGACGAAGCGAAAGUGACGGUAGGUGCAGAAGAAGGACCGGCCAACUACGUGCCAGCCGCCGCAGUAA